CUGAGGGGAACCCGAUUCAGGCCGCUGAGGGGAACCCGAUUCAGUUGACUGAGGAGAACAAGAUUCGCCUCAGCAGAGAUGGAAAGAUAACUGAAAAUAACCAGAAUCAGUUCACUAGUCCAAGUGAAAUGGAUCCAGUUGUCAACAGUGGAAAGUGUCAAAAUCAUCGCCUUGUGUGCACAACAGUAUCCUCCUUGGACAAGUGCAUUCAGUGCAUAGGACCUGUAUCCUCCUUCAAGUGGCUUGGCUAUAAAUGCAAAGUUUGUUCAGGCAUCUGGCAUAAAUCCUGCCUCAGACAAAUUACAAAUGAGAACUUCCACC